rnacentral:rRNA from 1 species
UCUGAAUAGGGCGUUUAGUAUUUGGUCGUAGACCCGAAACCAGGUGAUCUACCCUUGGUCAGGUUGAAGUUCAGGUAACACUGAAUGGAGGACCGAACCGACUUACGUUGAAAAGUGAGCGGAUGAACUGAGGGUAGCGGAGAAAUUCCAAUCGAACCUGGAGAUAGCUGGUUCUCUCCGAAAUAGCUUUAGGGCUAGCCUCAAGUGAUGAUUAUUGGAGGUAGAGCACUGUUUGGACGAGGGGCCCCUCUCGGGUUACCGAAUUCAGACAAACUCCGAAUGCCAAUUAAUUUAACUUGGGAGU